GCAGUCGUGGCCGAGUGGUUAAGGCGAUGGACCAGAAAUCCAUUGGGGUCUCCCCGCACAGGUUUGAAUCCUGUCGACUGCG
rnacentral:tRNA from 2 species